GGACAGAGGUGCCGAGCGUUAGGCGGAAUCACUGGGCUUAAAGCGUGUGUAGGCGGACCGUUAAGUACCUUGUGAAAUCCCCCGGCUCAACCGGGGAACGGCUGGGUAUACUGGGCGGUCUUGAGCCAUCCAGGGGCAGUCGGAACAGACGGUGGAGCGGUGAAAUGCGUAGAUAUCGUCUGGAACGCCGAAGGUGAAACAGACUGCUGGGGAUGAGCUGACGCUGAGACACGAAAGCCAGGGGAGGACGAACGGG
rnacentral:rRNA from 1 species